rnacentral:rRNA from 1 species
GAUGAUGCCCAGCUUGCUGGGCGGAUUAGUGGCGAACGGGUGAGUAAUACGUGAGUAACCUGCCCUUGACUCUGGGAUAAGCCUGGGAAACUGGGUCUAAUACUGGAUACUACCUCUUACCGCAUGGUGGGUGGUGGAAAGGGUUUUACUGGUUUUGGAUGGGCUCACGGCCUAUCAGCUUGUUGGUGGGGUAAUGGCUCACCAAGGCGACGACGGGUAGCCGGCCUGAGAGGGUGACCGGCCACACUGGGACUGAGACACGGCCCAGACUCCUACGGGAGGCAGCAGUGGGGAAUAUUGCACAAUGGGCGGAAGCCUGAUGCAGCGACGCCGCGUGAGGGAUGACGGCCUUCGGGUUGUAAACCUCUUUCAGUAGGGAAGAAGCGAGAGUGACGGUACCUGCAGAAGAAGCGCCGGCUAACUACGUGCCAGCAGCCGCGGUAAUACGUAGGGCGCAAGCGUUGUCCGGAAUUAUUGGGCGUAAAGAGCUCGUAGGCGGUUUGUCGCGUCUGCUGUGAAAGCCCGGGGCUCAACCCCGGGUCUGCAGUGGGUACGGGCAGACUAGAGUGCAGUAGGGGAGACUGGAAUUCCUGGUGUAGCGGUGAAAUGCGCAGAUAUCAGGAGGAACACCGAUGGCGAAGGCAGGUCUCUGGGCUGUUACUGACGCUGAGGAGCGAAAGCAUGGGGAGCGAACAGGAUUAGAUACCCUGGUAGUCCAUGCCGUAAACGUUGGGCACUAGGUGUGGGGGACAUUCCACGUUUUCCGCGCCGUAGCUAACGCAUUAAGUGCCCCGCCUGGGGAGUACGGCCGCAAGGCUAAAACUCAAAGGAAUUGACGGGGGCCCGCACAAGCGGCGGAGCAUGCGGAUUAAUUCGAUGCAACGCGAAGAACCUUACCAAGGCUUGACAUUCACCGGACCGCCCCAGAGAUGGGGUUUCCCUUCGGGGCUGGUGGACAGGUGGUGCAUGGUUGUCGUCAGCUCGUGUCGUGAGAUGUUGGGUUAAGUCCCGCAACGAGCGCAACCCUCGUUCUAUGUUGCCAGCACGUGAUGGUGGGGACUCAUAGGAGACUGCCGGGGUCAACUCGGAGGAAGGUGGGGAUGACGUCAAAUCAUCAUGCCCCUUAUGUCUUGGGCUUCACGCAUGCUACAAUGGCCGGUACAAAGGGUUGCGAUACUGUGAGGUGGAGCUAAUCCCAAAAAGCCGGUCUCAGUUCGGAUUGAGGUCUGCAACUCGACCUCAUGAAGUCGGAGUCGCUAGUAAUCGCAGAUCAGCAACGCUGCGGUGAAUACGUUCCCGGGCCUUGUACACACCGCCCGUCAAGUCACGAAAGUUGGUAACACCCGAAGCCGGUGGCCUAACCCCUUGUGGGAGGGAGCCGUCGAA